rnacentral:rRNA from 1 species
CCAGCUACAGGCUAACACAUGCAAGUCGAGGGGCAGCAUGAUUCUAGCUUGCUAGAAUGAUGGCGACCGGCGCACGGGUGAGUAACGCGUAUCCAACCUGGCCCAUAGUAGGGAACAGCCCGGCGAAAGUCGGAUUAAUGCCCUAUGUUGUAUUUUGAGGACAUCUGACGAAUACCAAAGAUUUAUCGCUAUGGGAUGGGGAUGCGUCUGAUUAGGCAGUCGGCGGGGUAACGGCCCACCGAGCCUUCGAUCAGUAGGGGUUCUGAGAGGAAGGUCCCCCACAUUGGAACUGAGACACGGUCCAAACUCCUACGGGAGGCAGCAGUGAGGAAUAUUGGUCAAUGGGCGUAAGCCUGAACCAGCCAAGUUAAGCGUGCAGGAUGGCGGCCCUAUGGGUUGUAAACUGCUUUUGUCGGGGAAUAAAGUGUCCUACGUGUAGGAUUUUGUAUGUACCCGAAGAAUAAGGACCGGCUAAUUCCGUGCCAGCCGCUGC